rnacentral:rRNA from 1 species
AGCGUGGGGAGCGAACUGGAUUAGAUACCCAGGUAGUCCACGCCGUAAACGAUGGAUACUAGCUGUUGGAGGUAUCGACCCCUUCAGUAGCGAAGCUAACGCGUUAAGUAUCCCGCCUGUGGAGUACGGCCGCAAGGCUAAAACAUAAAGGAAUUGACGGGGACCCGCACAAGCGGUGGAUCAUGUUCUUUAAUUCGAUGAUAAACGAAGAACCUUACCAGGGUUUGACAUCCCGAGAAGAUUUACGAAAGUAGAUUGUGCCUUUUGGAACUCGGUGACAGAUGAUGCAUGGCCGUCGUCAGCUCGUGUCGUGAGAUGUUUGGUUAAGUCCAUCAACGAGCGCAACCCUUGUGAAUAGUUGAAUUUUUCUAUUCAGACUGCCCCGGCAACGGGGAGGAAGGAGGGGAUGAUGUCAGGUCAGUAUUUCUCUUACAUCCAGGGCUAGAAACGUGAUACAAUGGCAAGUACAAUGCGCAGCGAAGCCGCGAGGUGAAGCAAAUCGCACCAAAACUUGUCCCAGUUCGGAUUGGAGGCUGAAACUCGCCUCCAUGAAAUCGGAAUCGCUAGUAAUCGCAGGUCAGCAAACUGCGGUGAAUACGUUCCCGGGUCUUGUACACACCGCCCGUCAAGCCAUGAAAGUGACCAACACCCGAAGUCCGAUUCGUCGGCCUAAGGUGGGGGGCAUGAUUGGGGUU